AGGGAUCGCGGAAAGGGUAUCGCCUCGGGCUAGCGUGCUUACCGAGGGAUCGUUCGAUAGGUGGUCUACCUCUCGUGUUUUCUUUUGUGAGAGGUUGAGAGUUGUACCCGUAUAUGUAUAGAGACCACCAUUUUUGUACUUGAGGCAGAUGUUGUAUUACACUAUACCUUACAGUUUACUUUUAUUAUUUUUAGUAGUUUCUUUCACUCUUGCUCUGAUAUCUCUAGAUGUAGGCUAUUUCUUGCUUUUAUUUCCGCUUUUAUUAUAGACGCCUUAUAUGUGUUGACAUAUGGCGGGUCUGGGCACGCUACCGGGAGGGCCUCCGCCGGUCCCGGGGCGUGACAG
rnacentral:lncRNA from 1 species